rnacentral:lncRNA from 1 species
CACAUAUAUUUUCCAUUCCAAAAGAAUAUUCUUUCCACUCCAUCCUGAAGGGGUCUUGCUCUGUCAUUCCAGCUGGAGUGCAGAGGUGUGUGAUCGCAACUCUCUACAGCCUUGACCUCUGAGCCUCAAGCAAUCCUUCUACCUCAGCCUCCUGAGUAGCUGGGACCACAGGAUAAUGCUGGUCUCACAAAAUGGAUUGGGAAAUGCCACACCUCUACUUUCUGAAAGAGUUUACAUAAGAGCCUCACUCUGUCGCCCAUGCUAGAGUACAAUCAUGCAAUCUUGGCUCACUGCAACCUCUGCCUCCUGGGUUGAAGCGAUUCUCCUGCCUCAGCCUCUUGAGUAGCUGGGAUUACAGUUUCCCUUUAGGUGCACGAAGAUAGGGAAGCUAAAAGCAGACUCAGGGGGUAUGCCUGCAGCUGCAGGAAGAUGUGUGGGAACAGACACAAAAACCCUCCCUCCCAGAUAAGCAAGACAGACAAACAUUCCAAGCCCGUGAUAAGCUCUUCUGCCUUGAACCCUUAAAACCUCUCAGUCUGUAAGAGAGAAUGCCUCUGACCUAACUUGGCCAGAAGCCCCUCUCAGGUUUAUUCUCCAAAAUAAACCUCUCUUUGACUGUUGAGCCACUUUUUGUGUUUCUUUCUUCUUUCUUUAAUUCUUGUAGCCUCUGUUACUGGGCAUGGAGUCAUCUGUCUUCUAUGGAGCACCUCUGUCUUUUGGUCAAAGAGGGAAAAUGAAAUCCUGGCCCUAUGGAUACUGGGAAGCAUACUCAAGUAUCUCUGGAGUUUGAGACCAGCUUGGGCAACAGAGCAAGACGCCGUGUCUACAAA